rnacentral:rRNA from 1 species
UACGUAGGCAGCAAGCGUUGUUCGGAGUUACUGGGCGUAAAGGGUGUGUAGGCGGUUCUUUAAGUUUGCUGUGAAAUCUCCCGGCUUAACCGGGAGGGUGCGGUGAAUACUGAGGGACUAGAGUACGGGAGAGGAAAGUGGAAUUCCCGGUGUAGCGGUGAAAUGCGCAGAUAUCGGGAGGAACACCAAUGGCGAAGGCAGCUCACUGGGACGGUACUGACGCUGAGACGCGAAAGCGUGGGGAGCAAACAGG